AGAGAGAGACAUGCGCGCAUAUCAAUAAGCGGAGGAAAAGAAACUAACAAGGAUUCCCUUAGUAACGGCGAGUGAAGCGGGGAAGAGCUCAAAUUUGAAAUCUUCAAGGUUUUACCUUGACGAAUUGUAGUUUAAAGAAGUGUUUUCUGCUGAAGUUUUGGUAAAAGUUCUUUGGAAUAGGACAUCAUAGAGGGUGAGAAUCCCGUAUUUGACCAUUAUUUUCAGGCUUUGUGAUACACUUUCAAAGAGUCGGAUUGUUAGGGAAUGCAGUCCAAAAUGGGUGGUAAAUUUCAUCUAAAGCUAAAUAUUGGCGAGAGACCGAUAGCGAACAAGUACCGUGAGGGAAAGAUGAAAAGAACUUUGAAAAGAGAGUUAAACAGUACGUGAAAUUGUCAAAAGGGAAGCGUUUGACACCAGUGUUGUUUUCUCGAAAAUCAAUUAAAAAUGGCUCGAUUUUGUAUUGUUGAGACCUUAAAAGCUCACUGUACAUUUUUCGUGUCUUUUUUUAAUGCACUUUUCGUUUAACAAGUCAACAUCAGUUUCUUUUGUUGUAAAAGGGUCAUUGGAAGGUGGCUUUCUUUUCGGAGAAAGUGUUUAUAGCCUUUGGCCUCUGCAAUCGAAGAGACUGAGGUCUGCAGCGUAGACUCUUCGGGGUUAGAUACAUCUGUGCUAAGUUAUAGCUUUUUAUAGACAACUUGUUGACUAUAAUUAGUCUUGUAGCUUACUCGCUUAUGCUAUUUUACCUACGCUUAGGAUGUUGAAGAUGUAGCACAUCAU
rnacentral:rRNA from 1 species